rnacentral:snRNA from 1 species
GAGAAAUCACUUUUUCGUAA